GUGGUCUUUUUGGCAGCACAUAUAUUAAAAUUGGAAUGAUAGAAGAUUAGCGUGCCCCCCUCGCCCGCCAAUGAUGACAUGCAAAUUUGUGAUGCAUUCUAUAUUUAA
rnacentral:snRNA from 1 species